rnacentral:sRNA from 21 species
GUCAGGUACCCCAUGCCUCUGCGGCAGGGGCUUGUGAGAGCAAGCCUGAAUCUGACCAGACUCAGCCCUGGGCCUUCUGCUUCGGUGGGAGGUUAUCGAGCUACGAUAGUAUUGGGAAGUGUUGACGUUCCUACCUCCGGGUGCGUGCCAGCCUGGAGCUCUAGA